GGUAUUAUUAUUCCCAAUUUACAGAUGGGGAAACUGAGGCACAGAGGGGUGAAGAACCCAGCCCAAGGUCACUCAGCUAACAUGUGGCAGAAUGAGGACUUAAACUCCAGUCUAGAUGAUUCAGAAGCUGUAAGUGAGGAGGCUGCUGCCACAGACAUGGACAGGAAUGAUAGUGGUUUCACUGGUUAUGAAGCAAGUAGAUGGGUAGGCUCAAGAGAGGAACUAAUGAUAGAAUUGAUGUUCUGUGGACUUAGGGAGGGAUCAGUCAGAGAUGACUCCCAGCUUCAGCCUUGAUCAACUAGGUGGACAGUGAUUUACAUUCACCAAAGUGAAGAAACGGGAAGAGCAGAUUUGGAGGGAAAAAAAAUCAUUCAUCUAAAUUUGAUACAUUUUACUUCAGUAAAAAAAGAGAGAGAGAGACAUGGGUUGAUUAAAUGAAAACAAAACAAGAUGAUUCCAUGCCUAGAACUCCCUCGCUCUGCCACCCCUCCUUCAACUCCAGCAUUCUCUCACAUCCUUUGUCCCUGCUUCCUUCCCGCGUCCUCAUGUACAUUGGUACUUUCUGAUCCUUGGGUCCUCCAAUACCCAAUGCCAAGCAGAUUGCGUUCAAGAGAAAUGCCCAGAGGACACUGUCCUUGGCCACACCACCCAUCGCCUCACCCGUGCUUUCUCCUGACCUUCUCAGGGUGGAGUUCCCUUCAUCUUUCUAUUCCUGAGACCAUUCUCUGCAUGCAGAGCAGGCUUGAUAGGUGUGUGGCCUCUGCAGUUACACAGGGCCCCACACUCAGAAGGGCCCACUUUCAGUUUAAUGUUCCUCUGUUGCAGGCUUGAAACUCCUAACAUAUUAAAGGGCCCCACACUUUCAUUUUGCAGUAGGUCCUGCAAAUUAUAUAGCCAGUCCUGUAUGUAUGUCUACAUCGUAAUGGUGCAAACCAAUGUGUGCAGCCUUUCCCAUCUGCGGCAAUGAACCUCAUUUCCAUCUAGGAAGUCCAACUGCUUCAAAUCACAGGGAGACAAAGCGAAAAAAGAGCUCAGUUCCUUUGUUUCUAUGAAAUACAUUUUAUGUGUAGUUUUAUGUUUCUUCCUGGAUAAUAAUUUAGGAGGGAGCCCUGAGAAACAGGAUAUUCCAAAAUCUGAAAAAAUCCAAAAUCCUUCUAGUCCCAGAAUUUUGGAUAAGGGAUACUCAACCUGUAAUCUCAGUCUGGCUUCCAAAGCAUAAAAGCAUAGCAGCAUCCAGAUAUGCAAAUAAACUUAUGGCCAACCCAAAGGUCUAGUUUCUGGUUUGACUUUGUGGAAGAAAGGAUUUCCUGUUUCACAGAAUCCUUUUGUUCCUUGCCCUUUAUCCCCCCGAGAGAGACAGCCACUUAGCAUAAAUCAUGAAAGGGUGUUCUGGGGACUAUCAGAACCCUCAAGAGAAAGGUUUGUUGGUCUGGUUUAUGCUACAUUUAGAAGGCGGCCCAGGACUGUUCCUACAGCCUAGACUGGAACCAGGGCUCAGGGUAGGGGUGACUCAAGAGAGAGAGAGAUCAAAAAGCAACUGACUGGGAAAGUCAAGAAACAUUUUUGCCACUCCUGGAAUCCAUGAAUGUUGAAGAUUGACUCAGCAGGCUGUUUUCUUUCUGGUGAUGGACGUUUCCUUCGAGAUGCAGCAGGGUUACAAUUCCAUACUGUAAUGCGUUAGAUAAUGAGCCUUCAACUGGGUCUAAAAUUAGGACUUUGACAUACAAGAAAAAUGUCUUCAGGCUUCAGGUUUUCUUUAUCUGGUUUCUUUUGGAUACUUUUAGCUCUUCUGUCUAUCCUCCAGAAAAGACCAAGCUGAUCCACUCACUGUCAGCACAAAGAAUGCUGAAAGGGUCACUGAAGACAAAUUGUGCUGGUUUGGGAAUAAGACAAAAGAAGCCAAACUCCUCUUUCCACAACUAUGUACUAGCCUAGAAGUACCCUGGCCACUUUAGUAAUUUGUUUUACCUCAUUUGACAUUGACCUAUGAUAUGAUCGACAUGACUCACCGGUGCCUAGAGAGGCUCUAACUAACUUGUUUUUCCUGGCUCUGUGCCCUUCCCAGAGCACAUCACCACCCCACACCCCAAAUUCACUCCUUCUUCUUAUAGCUUCUUACAGCUGGCUUGUGGGAAAUGGGACUGGUCUGGGGUUCUCAAGGGUGGGCGCUACCUCUCUGGUAGUGUUCUGGAAAGUGGCUAUUAUUUCAGAACUGAGAGCACUGCAAUGAGCAGACACUGCAUGGACUGUUCUUCUGAAGAUUAAAUUCCACAGAUCUGGACAUUGCCCAAGAAGGCCCUUCAUUUAGCAUGGCUUGUAUGCUCAGGUUCCAGGCUUCUUAUUUCCUACCUGGAGAACUCUUGCUCUUCACUGAUCCUUAAUUCUUGGUGUACCAAUUUGUGUUUCAGCUGUGCCAAAAUGAAGGAUCAGGAUUAUCUUCUAAACAAAAAGAAUGACCUCCUUCUCUUGCAUCUAGGCCCUAAGGCAUUUCCCUGCUCACUAAUGGGAUUAAAAGUAUUUUCAUAUGUUUAUUAGCCAUGGUGAAUUUUUCAUUCUUAUCUGUCCACUUUUAUUGCGUUGCUUUUUCUUAACAGUUUAUAAGAACCAUCAUAUAUUGGAACUUGGAACUUUUUAUUAAAUGUAAUGUAAUUACUUGUUUAAACUGAA